UACGUAGGGUGCAAGCGUUAAUCGGAAUUACUGGGCGUAAAGGGCUCGUAGGCGGCCAACUAAGUCGGAUGUGAAAUCCCCAGGCUUAACCUGGGAACUGCAUCCGAUACUGGAUGGCUUGAAUUCGGGAGAGGGAUGCAGAAUUCCAGGUGUAGCGGUGAAAUGCGUAGAUAUCUGGAGGAAUACCGGUGGCGAAGGCGGCAUCCUGGACCGGCAUUGACGCUGAUGAGCGAAAGCUAGGGGAGCAAACGGG
rnacentral:rRNA from 1 species